GGGGGCGUAAAGGUUUCGACAGGGAGUGUGAACUUCGGCAAGCGAGCAGCGGCUCUGCAGAACCGCUAUAAAAUCCGCAGAUCUUUAAAAUUAAACGACAACAAUAAAACUGUUGCCCUCGCUGCUUAAUUAGCGAGCGUUCCCUUUAAGAGUACCACGGCUUGAAGGGGGCGUCGAUGAGUGGUGAACGUGAACGGGAAAGCGUCUCGGUUUCCGUCAUGACACAGAGACUACCGAAGCAUAAAGCCUGCCAACAGGCGUUAUGAUGGGGGAAUCUCAAAAUAUUGGCUACGCUCGUAGAAAACCGUUGCAAGUGCUUUUUGGACAGGAGUUCAAUUCUCCUCGCCUCCACCA
rnacentral:tmRNA from 1 species